AUGUUACCUCAGGGAGGUCCCCAACAGUCGUGGGGGGGGACACAUGUUACCUCAGGGAUGUCCCCAAAGGCCAUGGGGGGACACAUUACCUCAGGGAGGUCCCCAACAGUCGUGGGGGGGGACAUGUUACCUCAGGGAGGUCCCCAACGGCCAUGGGGGGGACAUGUUACCUCGGGGAGGUCCCCAACGGCCAUAGGGGGGGACAUGUUACCUCAGGGAGGUCCCCAAUGGCCAUGGGGGGGACAUGUUACCUCGGGGAGGUCCCCAACGGCCAUAGGGGGGGACAUGUUACCUCGGGGAGGUCCCCAAAGGCCAUGGGGGGGACAUGUUACCUCGGGGAGGUCCCCAAUGGCCAUAGGGGGGGACAUGUUACCUCAGGGAUGUCCCAAUGGUCACCGAGGGGACACGUUACCUCAGGGAGGUCCCCAACGGUCACGGGAGGUGGGAGGGGACAUAUAUUACCUCAGGGAGGUCCCCAAUGGCCAUGGGGGGGGGGGGACACGUUGCUUCAUGGAUGUCCCCAGUGGUCACCAGGGGGGACACGUUGCCUCAGGGAGGUCCCCAACGGUCAUGGGGGGGGGGACACACAUUACCUUAGGGCUGUCCCCCGCUGCCCUCAGGGAGAGCCUUUACCUCAGGGACGUCCCCAAGGCCAAGGGGACAGGCCGUUCCACCGGGGACGGCUGUCACCUCACGGAUGUCCCUCACGGCCACCCCAAGGACGGCCAUUACCUCAGGUGUCACAGGACGGGGCCGUUGCCUUGGGGACGUCCCCCAACGGCCACCCCGGGGACGGGCCUGGACCUCCGCACGGGAGGGCCCGACUGCUGCUGCUCCUUGCCGCGCUUUUGUUUGGCUUUAUUUUCACCACUUUCCUCCUUUUCCGAGCAGAAGCGCGUGAGGCCGGCAGCGGCCGGGCUUUCCCUAACAAUAUCCCUUGCUCACGUGCCGUUAUCCAUUGGUUUCCCAAUUCGGCCACCUUUCACUUUCCCCGGCCUCCGCGCACGCUGUGUUUUAGAGCCCGGCAACCGCUCCUCUCGCUUUCUUGUAGGUUAUUGCCGUCCUCCAGCGUGGAGCCAUAUGUGUUUUUAUAACCACGGCCUCUUGUUUGUGUUGUCAGCCAGAGUUCGGAUGCGGCGAUCCCGUGAUUUCUGA
rnacentral:lncRNA from 1 species